GUGCUUAACAGCUCUGAGCCUUACUUUCAUCAUAGGUAAGGUGAGGACACAGGGCCCAUCCGCCUCACACAACUGAGAAGUAAGCCAUGCACAGCGGCGGAAGUUCUCUGCAGAGACGAAGCUGCUGCAUGUCAUUACAAUCUGUGUAUUUGAUACUGUUUUUUGAAUAAAUGAUGAUGAUCUAGCUCUAAAGAUAAUAUUUGUUAACUUACUGAGCUACCUUGACUUACUAUAUUAGCAAAACAUCAUCUCUCACAAUCAAAACAAGCAAUGUGAGUUACAUUAAAAAUUUGAAAGUCACUUUAGUGAACAGAUACUUCUGGUCAUUUGGUUAAAACGUCACCAGUAGCAGAUCCAAGUGGCUAUUUCAUAAAGGAAAGUAUAUUCCCAGAUAAAAGUUUUACAUUCACUCCAAUUUCCCCAGUGCAUCAGAGCAUCUUAGUGUGGAAUGGGGAGCCUCAGGCUCCAGUGAGGAGCCAGUGAGGCCGUGAUGUCUUCAGGCACCGCUGCUCCUCCUGGGAGUGCCGCCUGUGACGUCACACGGGGCAUUGCUUUGGUCUGUCUCUGACAUGGACUGGAAAGCUAGUCCUUUAAAUUUUUAUUGGGAUGCAGCCAGUUUUCAAAGAUAAGAUAGGCCUCGCUCUGAAUCGGUCCCUUGUCAAUUCCCUUAAGAGGAAGGUAAAGAGAGGAAAUUUAAAAUAAGGAUAGAAAAUAGCUGCCAGCCUCGUAAGGACAGCAGGUGAAUGGGACUCUAUUUUGAUGACACACUUCUUGACAAAAGCCUUUACAGAUGGGAGUUUUCCCUUCUUUUGUAGCCAAAGGUGAUUUUAGGAUACAGUUGUGUUCGUGAAACAGCCGAAAGCAGCCCAGCAUGUCCACAGAGAUGGAGACGGGUCGGUGCCAGCAGAAAACCAGUUGUAACUGGGUCUGAAGGGGAAGCUUCUUGCUGUAAAAAAAUUAAAAAUCUUCUAAUCAAAUGUGGGCUUUUUUCCCUAGUGGAAGGGGAAUUAUCUUAACCAUUUCAAGUUCAAAGUUUUGGCUGUUUUCUGUCUAUUGAGCUAUCAAUGUAUCAGCUGUCCACCUGUGUCUCUCUUUAACAUCGACAGGUCUUGGGAUACGUACAGGAAUAUUCCUUUGUUGUCUGUUUCCUGGCUUCUUUUUUUCUCUCUGACUGCAGAAUAUAACAGACAACUGCAUGUGCUUCCAUGAUGCCACUGCAAGACUUUUUCAACGGUCAUAAGGAAGACCCCAGUUGAGCCAGCACCGAAAGCCGAGAGUGCCCUGUGUCAUGUUCUCACGGCGUUCUGCCGAAUGCCGCCCCGGUUCCUGCCGGGGCAGGUUUCAUGUUCCCAGCUCCUCAUCUCUGAGGCUCAGGCCAGUGUGGAGCCUGUGGCGCAACAUAAGUAGGAGCUGAGGUCAACAGAAGUGGACUCCCUCUGCAAGUCAACUCCAAACCCAGGUUCACAGGAAGAGAACCAGCCUCAGGAAGCAGAAGAGCCAUGGCACCCUGUUCUGCAAGCCCAAGGGAAACACUCGGAACACCCCAUGUGUUAUCCUGCAAGAUGUACUGAGGACCGAGAGAGUACCGCAGGAGGGCUGUCGGGUCAGGUCUAUGAAAUAGAAUGGUAAGAAGACUUGAGCACUUGGAAAAAUGGAGAUCCCAGGAGUGGAGAAGGUGUCAUAGCUUUCCUAUGCAGGACAUAUAAUGAUGGCCACAUGCUGCAGAAAGUUACAGAUGUCUGCACCUGUCCAAUGCCUGACAGAUGCUUCCUGCAAACCCCACCUGGGAGCCGGGAGACAUAACCAUGUCCCCUCGGAGGUGAAAACAUUCAAAAUAAUAGACACCUUUGUGGAGCCUCCAGAGAACUCCACCGAGCUGUAUGUAUCAAAGAAAUCUAGCUUUAGUGUAGUGGAAUAAAAAUUGUAUUUAAAAAGAAAUAACAACUUAAUUCAUGCUCAUCUUGAGACAUACAUGCCAAAGUUUAAAUGUUUAAAAGCAAGGCAAUAGACAUUUUUAUGGUUGAUAACAAACUACAAAUUUGUCUGGGGGAAAAAAUCCUGAAAUAUUUGACAAAAGAGCUGUGAUAAGAGAUAAAGAACACAGUAUUCACUGUCUGAACACCCAGAGGGGGAGCUCCAGCGCC